GUUUGGGGAGUCCUGGUGCGCUCCAGAUAUGCCAAUAUAAGCUCCAUUACUGCCUGAUAGGAGUUGUAAUCCAACUCUAGGAUGUCCCCAAUAUACAUCUACAAAUAUAUAAUUGGUGAAGGGUAGUUCAUUACUUAAUGCUGGAUUAUUUUUUAAACUUAUUUAUUUUAUCCUGCCAUUAUUUUUAUAAAUAAGGUGGCGAUCAUACCUAAUAUUCCUUCAUUCUUCUGUUUUCCCCAUAACGACUCUUAUGAGGUGAGCUGAGAGUGACUGUCCCAAAAUCACCCAGCUGGCUUUCAUGUCUAUAGAACUCAUGAUCUGGUUCUUAGGCCAGCAUCUUAACCACUUAGAGCAAACUGGCUACUUUACAAAGGGCAAUUGCCCCAUUCAGAGCCCUCCAGUGUGUAUAGGACUUGUGAUUUUAUCUCUGAGCUUUCUGAAAAUCCAACCCACCUGUGUGCAGCAAUAGCUCGCCUUUAACCUCAAUCGCCGAAUCGGUAGCUCUGGAAGGCAACAGUUCUGGAGAUGCGCCUUUAAACCAGCCCCGCCGCCUCGGCUGCUGCUCGAAACCGGUGAAUGGCAGCUCCCUUUGCCCUGUCAGAAGCCGGUGCUUCGAAGCCUCGCCCUCUUAUCUUUUGCCGCCAAUGAGUGAAGCGAAAUGAAAAAAAAAAGGGCGGGGGUGGUGUGAGAAAGUGACGCCGCGUGGCCAGAGAAUGUGUGACCAAUGGGCGCUUCUCUGAGGCCCAGGCCGGUAAAGGAGUGCGCGACGUCAGAACCUAGCGCCCAAUAGGAGUCCACUCCUGACUGCAGGGUGAGGGUUGUGAGGCUGUAGGUCCUCUGGUGAGAAAGAGGAGACGGUUGCUUAGCAACGGGAGGAAGGCGCUCUUCUUAUCUGAGCCCAAGAAGCACCGUGUUGCUUCUCCAAGGGGAUGAAGCUUUCAUUGAGAGGGGGAAUCAGUAUGAG